rnacentral:rRNA from 1 species
GGAAUUGACGGGGCCCGCACAAGCGGUGGAGCAUGUGGUUUAAUUCGAAGCAACGCGAAGAACCUUACCAGGUCUUGACAUCCCGAUGCUAUUUCUAGAGAUAGAAAGUUACUUCGGUACAUCGGUGACAGGUGGUGCAUGGUUGUCGUCAGCUCGUGUCGUGAGAUGUUGGGUUAAGUCCCGCAACGAGCGCAACCCUUGUCAUUAGUUGCUACAUUCAGUUGGGCACUCUAAUGAGACUGCCGGUGACAAACCGGAGGAAGGUGGGGAUGACGUCAAGUCCUCAUGGCCCUUAUAGGUGGGGCUACACACGUCAUACAAUGGAUGGUACAAAGGGUCGCCAACCCGCGAGGGGGAGCCAAUCCCAUAAAGCCAUUCGUAGUCCGGAUCGCAGUCUGCAACUCGACUGCGUGAAGUCGGAAUCGCUAGUAAUCGUGGAUCAGAAUGUCACGGUGAAUACGUUCCCGGGUCUU